rnacentral:rRNA from 1 species
GUGCCAGCAGCCGCGGUAAUUCCAGCUCCAAUAGCGUAUAUUAAAGUUGUUGUGGUUAAAAAGCUCGUAGUUGAACCUUGGGCCUGGCUGGCCGGUCCGCCUCACCGCGUGCACUGGUCCGGCCGGGCCUUUCCCUCUGUGGAACCCCAUACCCUUCACUGGGCGUGGCGGGGAAACAGGACAUUUACUUUGAAAAAAUUAGAGUGCUCCAGGCAGGCCUAUGCUCGAAUACAUUAGCAUGGAAUAAUAAAAUAGGACGCGCGGUUCUAUUUUGUUGGUUUAUAGGACCGCCGUAAUGAUUAGUAGGGACAGUCGGGGGCAUCAGUAUUCAACUGUCAGAGGUGAAAUUCUUGGAUCAGUUGAAGACUAACUACUGCGAAAGCAUUUGCCAAGGAUGUUUUCAUUAAUCAGGAACGAAAGUUAGGGGAUCGAAGACGAUCAGAUACCGUCGUAGUCUUAACCAUAAACUAUGCCGACUAGGGAUCGGACGGUGUUAUUCAUGACCCGUUCGGCACCUUACGAGAAAUCAAAGUGCUUGGGCUCCAGGGGGAGUAUGGUCGCAAGGCUGAAACUUAAAGAAAUUGACGGAAGGGCACCACCAGGGGUGGAGCCUGCUGCUUAAUUUGACUCAACACGGGGAAACUCCACCAGGUCCAGACACAAAUAAGGGAUUGACAGAUUGAGAGCUCUUUUCUUGAUUUGUGGGUGGUGGUGCAUGGCCGUCUAGUGGUGGGGUGACUGUCUGCUAAAUAGCGGAUAACGAACGAGACCUUACCUGCUAAAUAGGCCCCGCAUUGCUCG